AUUGAACGCUGGCGGCAGGCUUAACACAUGCAAGUCGAGCGGAGAGAGGUAGCUUGCUACUGAUCUUAGCGGCGGACGGGUGAGUAAUGCUUAGGAAUCUGCCUAUUAGUGGGGGACAACAUUUCGAAAGGAAUGCUAAUACCGCAUACGUCCUACGGGAGAAAGCAGGGGAUCUUCGGACCUUGCGCUAAUAGAUGAGCCUAAGUCGGAUUAGCUAGUUGGUGGGGUAAAGGCCUACCAAGGCGACGAUCUGUAGCGGGUCUGAGAGGAUGAUCCGCCACACUGGGACUGAGACACGGCCCAGACUCCUACGGGAGGCAGCAGUGGGGAAUAUUGGACAAUGGGGGGAACCCUGAUCCAGCCAUGCCGCGUGUGUGAAGAAGGCCUUAUGGUUGUAAAGCACUUUAAGCGAGGAGGAGGCUACUGAGACUAAUACUCUUGGAUAGUGGACGUUACUCGCAGAAUAAGCACCGGCUAACUCUGUGCCAGCCGCCGCAGUAAUAC
rnacentral:rRNA from 1 species